rnacentral:rRNA from 1 species
GUAAGCUAAUNUCUUAAAGCCGUUCUCAGUUCGGACUGUAGGCUGCAACUCGCCUACACGAAGUCGGAAUCGCUAGUAAUCGCGGAUCAGCAUGCCGCGGUGAAUACGUUCCCGGGCCUUGUACACACCGCCCGUCACACCAUGGGAGUCGGAAAUGCCCGAAGUCUGUGACCCAACCGCGAGGAGGGAGCAGCCGAAGGCAGGUCGGAUGACUGGGGUGAAGUCGUAACAAGGUACC